CCAAAACAAAACAGAGAAAAAAAAAAAAAAAAACACAUUAAACAACUCAGAAAUUAAGUAUAAAUAAAAUAAAAUAACUAUUAUAAUAAUAAUAAUUAAGCACUGGCCUGCAACAUUUACAUUCAGGCUCCAUUUUAGACUGCACCCCUCAGUGAAAAACGAAAAGAACAACUAUUCACUCUUUAUUCGAGACGAGCUAUUCACCAAUUCAAUACCUCACCUUCACUCAGACUGGGGCAAGAUUGAGCAAGCUGUUGUUUUUUUUCAUUGAUUUAUUGAUCUCGCUGUUCUGAACUUUUUGCAAUCCUGCAGAGUGGAGAUAGACAGCCGUCACCUAUGAGGGCGAGAUGGGUGGACCACCAAAGGUUUAAUAAUCUGUUCCCUCUGAUUGGGUCUUUCACAGUGUUGCGCCAGUCGAGACGCCAGUUAAAUGACAUUUAUUUUUGUAUCGGUGAGCUUUUAAAGGAGGGAAUCUGUUCACGGCAUGGGCACCAACCCUGAGAUUGACAGUAGAGUUCUGUGUAGGAAGACUGAAAUGAUUUGAAAAUGGCCAGAUAGUCAGUAGUGUGUGUGUGUGUGUGUGUGUUAAUGAAUUAUGUAACGUUAGUGUAGUCAGAAACUAUAAUCUCGAAAGGCACUCCCCAUCACACACACACACACACACACAGUACAUGCACACACAAACACAGUACAUGCGCACACACACACAGUACAUGCACACACACACACACACACAGUACAUGCACGCACACACACACACACAGAGAGUACAUACACACACAUAUAUUCAAACACACUGAAAUCUGUUGCCUUUAACCCAGUGUGUGAGAACAGCUGUUUGCCUUGAAUGUACAGUAUGUCUUACCCUGUAUUCAGUUUGAUGUGUUUCCUGUAUUUCACACCAGCCGUUCAGUUCUCACUAUGCCUCAGCCAGUGCUGUUGAUCUGCUGCUUCCCCCCCCACACAGCAGCUCAACCAGGGCCAGAACAGCAGUAGAACCAGGCUAGAAAAGGGCCCGAACAGGAUUAGAACCGGACUACAAAAGGGCCAGAACAGGAUUAGAACAGUACUAGAACAGGGCCAGAUCAGCUCCAGAGUUGUCUGCUACCAGGGUUUUAAUCCCCUGUAUCGGUUGCACUAGGAUGCAUGGAAAUAAGCAUAUGUUGGGGAAAGAAAUGUUUGUCUGAUGUACUGUAAUUCUCCCACUUGUCUGCCAUGUUGAUUUGACAUUUGCACUGGUUCUUCAACAACUUGUUUUUGAGUGUUUGUGGUACUUCUCUAUCAAAAGAAUGAAACAGACAAAUGAUUCGAUGGAGAAGCUGGCGAUGGUUUUUAGUGCCAUAAAAAGUAUUUUCAAACUAUUGUUGUGGUAUGCUGCAUAUCUUUACUCUGGGUGACCUGAGUCGGUCUUGCAUCGCGUUUGUGCCGAUUUCACCAAGGACGGUGCCGUGGAGGAUUUUCCUCAGAGCUUCACGAUCAGUUUCCGUCUCCGCUCUCAUCCACGAUGGCAGUUUGCGGACUGAUGCUGCCUGGGAGGCGACUCUUCCUGGGACAGACUCCACGCGGAGCUGGACCGGAGCCGUUCCCAAGGCAACUGCUCUCUGGGUGAGAACACGGUUCCGUGCCACAGCUACAGUUACUAUGCACUGACCCAAGAUCAACAGCCGCCUGUCUUUUAAAUUCAAAUGUGUGUGUUAUCUGUGUCAUUAUAUGCAGAUUAAAGGGAAAUAAAAUAAAA